rnacentral:lncRNA from 1 species
GUGACUUCCGCUGUCGUCCCGGAAACCGGGAUGCGGUUAUCAGAGCGACCGCCUGCGCAGGUCGCGAAGAUUCCCUCAGAGCUGGUGGGUCUAAGGGGGUACUGGGAGGACACGAGAGGGAGUAGGCAGGGCGAGUAACCAGCUUGAGGCCGCACCUAGUUCAUGGCGUAUUCCACCCACCAGGAAAUGCUUAAUAAUAUGAAGCUCCUUCACUGCCAUUUUACCCAUUUGAUAGUUGAGGAAACAUUGACUGAAAAAGAUCAAUUACUUUUGGGAAAACCAUUGUGGUUUUAAUUUGCAUUUCCCAAAGUAAGAGGAACCUCCU